rnacentral:tRNA from 1 species
AGAAAAUGACGUGUAUUAAAGGGUUACCUUGAUAGGGUAAAUUAAGUAAAUAAAAUUACCUUCAUUA